rnacentral:rRNA from 1 species
UACGUAGGGGGCAAGCGUUGUCCGGAAUUAUUGGGCGUAAAGAGCUCGUAGGCGGUUUGUCGCGUCGAAUGUGAAAACCCGGGGCUCAACCCCGGGCCUGCAUUCGAUAUGGGCAGACUAGAGUUCGGUAGGGGAGUCUGGAAUUCCUGGUGUAGCGGUGAAAUGCGCAGAUAUCAGGAGGAACACCGGUGGCGAAGGCGGGACUCUGGGCCGAUACUGACGCUGAGGAGCGAAAGCGUGGGGAGCAAACAGG